UAAGUGUCGAAAAUAUGAUUUGUGAGGCCACAUUUUCUAGACGCUUAUCAAUACCCAGUAACUAAUAGGUGGCAGCACAUUACAUUUUACCUUUCCACCAUUCACAAUUUCCCUUACAUCCACAGUUGCUCAGACUUGCCUGUCCAAGACUCUUCACUUCGUGGGACCCUCAGCCGUUAUGGCCAAGUCAGCAUUGUGGUGUUUAUGCUUGCCCGUCCUCCUGUUCUUGCUGCUAGUACCACAGGAUGUCUCCUGUGCCAGAUUCCUGGUCAUUAUUCCCACUUCUGUGAAGAGUCACUUUCUCAUGCUAGAAAAAUACAUGAAGGCUCUUGCUGAUCGGGGGCAUGAGCUGGUGGUGGUCAGUCGCUUCCCGCAGAUACAACCUAUAUCAAACUAUGUCGAUAUUGUGUUAGAGGGUUCCCUUAAUGGAUCCAAUCCAAAAUAUACCUUAUCCAUAGAGCAGGCCCUGUUCAUAAAGAACCCUGUAGUAAAUGCCAUGAGUCUUGCCAAAUAUGGAGCACUUAACUGUGGAGCAGUACUUAAUGAUCCAUCAGUCAAACAACUCAUAAAUUCAGAUGAGAAAUUUGAUGUUGUUGUCAAUGAUUGUUUUCACACAGAUUGCUUCUUGCCUUUUGCAUACAAGUUUGGAGCAAUAAGUAUAUGUGCCAGCACAUCUGUGUUAAUGCCAUGGGCUAAUGACCGGAUGGGCAAUCCAGACAAUCCAUCAUACAUCCCAAAUCUCUUCACGUCUUAUUCGGAACGAAUGAAUUUUGUUGAACGGGUCAUAAAUGCUGUAACCACAGUGCUACACAAAGUAGCGUAUCACUUCAUCUCUGACUGUCCAUCGCAGCUGUUGGCACGCAAGUUCUUUGGAGAGGACACUCCUGACCUCGCUGAUCUUGCCAGGAACAUAAGUUUGUUGCUGGUGAACAGCCACUUCAGUGUAAAUGCGCCCAGGCCGCUGGUACCCGGUGUUGUUGAGAUUGGUGGCAUGCAUAUCCCCAAGCCUAAACCACUGCCUCAGCCCCUACAAGAUUACUUAGAUGGAGCGCGUCAUGGGGUUAUCUACUUUAGUUUUGGUUCAUUGCUUCAAGCGAAGUCAUUCCCUGAUGAUAAGAGGUUCCUGCAGGCAUUCUCUGAGCUACCACAGCGAGUCCUCUGGAAGUGGGAGGGAGAUACUCUGCCAGGACAGCCUGAGAAUGUCCAGAUCGAGAAAUGGUGUCCACAAUCUGAUAUCCUAAGGCACCCAAAUGUGCUUGCUUUUGUGUCACACGGAGGAUUACUGGGUACCCUAGAGGCAGCGUACAAUGGAGUGCCUGUGGUAGGUAUUCCGUUCUACGGUGAUCAGAGAAGCAAUGUGGCACACCUGAAGGCGAGGGGGAUGGCCAUCCAGCUGCAGUACGAAAACAUUACAAAGCAAAGUGUGCUGGAGGCACUCCGGACUGUGCUUGACCAGCCCAGCUAUAUAGAGAAUGCAAGACGCACGGCGCGUAUCUUCCGUGACAGACCUCAAUCUGCCCUGGACACUGCCAUCUUUUGGACUGAGUAUGUAAUGAGACAUGGCGGUGCACCACAUCUCCGCUCUGCAGCCGUGGAACUGGCAUGGUACCAGUACCUACUCCUAGAUGUCAUCGCGUUCACACUGGGAACUAUCCUGAUAUUUAUCCUUGCAGUCAGAAAAUUUUUUAGAGUGCUAUGUAGCUCCAAGAACGUUCUAGUGAAGAAGAAACAGGAAUGAUGUACCAGAUUUUGUUCCCGUAAUGAAAGUGUGGAUAUUCUAGUAAUCAAUAUGGCCAAGUCAGCAUUGUGGUGUUUAUGCUUGCCCGCCCUCCUGUUCUUGCUGCUAGUACCACAGGAUGUCUCCUGUGCCAGAUUCCUGGUCAUUAUUCCCACUUCUGUGAAGAGUCACUUUCUCAUGCUAGAAAAAUA